GAUUGAACGCUGGCGGUAUGCUUAACACAUGCAAGUCGAACGGAAACGAUACUAGCUUGCUAGUAGGCGUCGAGUGGCGGACGGGUGAGUAACGCGUAGGAAUCUGCCUGAUAGUGGGGGAUAGCCCGAAGAAAUUCGGAUUAAUACCGCAUAAUCUAUUUGUAGUAAAGUGGGGGACUUUCGAGCCUCACGCUAUCAGAUGAGCCUGCGUAAGAUUAGCUUGUUGGUAGGGUAAAAGCCUACCAAGGCAACGAUCUUUAGCUGGUCUGAGAGGAUGAUCAGCCACAUCGGGACUGAGACACGGCCCGAACUCCUACGGGAGGCAGCAGUGGGGAAUAUUGGACAAUGGGGGCAACCCUGAUCCAGCAAUACCGCGUGUGUGAAGAAGGCCUGAGGGUUGUAAAGCACUUUCAAUUGUGAAGAAAAGUUAACGGUUAAUAACCGUUAGCCUUGACGUUAACUUUAGAAGAAGCACCGGCUAACUCCGUGCCAGCAGCCGCGGUAAUACGGAGGGUGCAAGCGUUAAUCGGAAUUACUGGGCGUAAAGCGUGCGUAGGCGGUUUAUUAAGUCAGAUGUGAAAGCCCCGGGCUUAACCUGGGAACUGCAUUUGAAACUGGUCAACUAGAGUAUGGUAGAGGAAAGUGGAAUUUCUGGUGUAGCGGUGAAAUGCGUAGAUAUCAGAAGGAACAUCAAUGGCGAAGGCAGCUUUCUGGACCAAUACUGACGCUGAGGUACGAAAGCGUGGGUAGCAAACAGGAUUAGAUACCCUGGUAGUCCACGCCGUAAACGAUGAUAACUAGCCGUUGGGGGGAUUUACCCUUUAGUGGCGAAGCUAACGCGUUAAGUUAUCCGCCUGGGGAGUACGGCCGCAAGGUUAAAACUCAAAGGAAUUGACGGGGACCCGCACAAGCGGUGGAGCAUGUGGUUUAAUUCGAUGCAACGCGAAGAACCUUACCUGGUCUUGACAUCCUGCGAACUUUCUAGAAAUAGAUUGGUGCCUUCGGGAACGCAGUGACAGGUGCUGCAUGGCUGUCGUCAGCUCGUGUCGUGAGAUGUUGGGUUAAGUCCCGUAACGAGCGCAACCCCUAUCCUUAUUUGCCAGCACGUCAUGGUGGGAACUAUAAGGAGACUGCCGGUGAUAAACCGGAGGAAGGCGGGGACGACGUCAAGUCAUCAUGGCCCUUACGACCAGGGCUACACACGUGCUACAAUGGGAAGGACAAAGAGCCGCGAAGCCGCGAGGUGUAGCUAAUCUCAGAAAUCUUUUCGUAGUCCGGAUUGGAGUCUGCAACUCGACUCCAUGAAGUCGGAAUCGCUAGUAAUCGUAGAUCAGAAUGCUACGGUGAAUACGUUCCCGGGUCUUGUACUCACCGCCCGUCA
rnacentral:rRNA from 1 species